rnacentral:rRNA from 1 species
GGAAUCUUGCACAAUGGGCGAAAGCCUGAUGCAGCGACGCCGCGUGGGGGAUGAAGGCCUUAGGGUCGUAAACCCCUUUCAGCAGGGACGAAAAUGACGGUACCUGCAGAAGAAGCCCCGGCCAACUACGUGCCAGCAGCCGCGGUAAGACGUAGGGGGCGAGCGUUGUCCGGAUUUAUUGGGCGUAAAGAGCUCGUAGGCGGUUGCGUAAGUCGGAUGUGAAAACUCAGGGCUCAACCCUGAGACGCCAUCCGAUACUGCGCUGACUUGAAUCCAGUAGGGGAGUGUGGAAUUCCUGGUGUAGCGGUGAAAUGCGCAGAUAUCAGGAGGAACACCCAUGGCGAAGGCAGCACUCUGGGCUGGUAUUGACGCUGAGGAGCGAAAGCAUGGGUAGCGAACAGGAUUAGAUACCCUAGUAGUCCCUGAGCGGGCUGGCAAGGCGCAU